AUUAUUUUAAAGUUUUUAAUGAAAUUUAUUCUGUAAUACAUCCAGAAGAAUCUGAGGUACAAAAACAGGUUCACAUGAAUCAGAUGAUAUGUGACAAGUGAGAUUCAAAAGGCUUCUUAUUGCUCUGGAGUAUUGCCUAGUUAUGUUUAAAAUAUCACCUAUACUCUGCAGCAUGUAGUAGUCACAACCAAUUCAGACUUGUAUAUACAUAUAAGUAAUAAAAUCAACCUGUCUUUGGAGAGUUGGGGUUCAGAACUUUUAUCUAAUAUUACAGGUAGGAUGAUGUAUAGGGAAUAUUUUAAACAUGUCACAUAUUCUUUUUCUAAUCUACAUAUCACAAGUACUACAACAUUCUGAAGGUCCCCUGUAAUAUGUUAAAUACCUUGGAUAUAUGUUACUCUAAACUCUUCUUAGAAAUUUUGUAUACAAAACUAAUUCCCCCUAAAGGCAUAUGGUUUUUUAUUUUUAUAUUUCUCUCUGUUAAAUGUAUAUAAGAUAUAUCUAAAUGAUUUUGCUAUAAGCCCCAUAACCAUUAUUGCACUCUGACAACAAAGGACCUUCAAACUAUUACAGUAAAUGUAUUUAGCUAAAACCUAGACUGACAUCAGCUGUAUUCUUGGUUAUUUCCAACAAACAAUUAUCAGAAAUGAGAUUCCAUUUUCAAACUUUAUAAAUUUACUUAUGCUCCAUAAUGAUUCUAUUCCAUAUAAUGAUCCCCUUAACUUAGUUAAAUUUUGUCAGCUUUGUCAUAAAUCUCAUUUGAACUGCUUUUCCUGUAUCUGAAUAUAUUAUGCCUUGAAAUUCAUGUUUGUGGAAUGUUAGCCAGAUUAUAUGUACAGAUAUGUGAGCAAUUAUACAAAAAAAACAUUUUGGUAAAAGACUACUUUCUAUAAAAGUUUGCAUUCUACAUGACAUUAAUACACAUUCAACCAAAACAUACAAAUUUCAACUGUUCAACUGAAUGAAUCCAGAUUUCCAAUUUAAAAUGUUGAUUUCAAGUCGAAUGUGAACAAUAAAAUAAUCUGAUUCUAAAAAUAAUAAAAAAGAUGUAUUUACAAAUCUUACAACAUACAUAUGUGUGAAGAUGAACGUUGGUUUAUCACAUGACGCAUGACACAUAACCACUGUGUGCAUAACUCACAAAAUCAUUGGAAAAGAAAAACAUAAAAAAAUGUCAUCAAAUCUUACUACUACACAUUCAUCACCAUUUUAUUUAAAUGCAAAAUAAUCCUGUUACUUCGAUUUCGUAAUCAUGCAUCUUCCACAAUAGUUUCAACAAUAUAUUAAAACGGUAUAAUGAUCUGGAUAAAAAUUUACUUAAGAAAAUCUUUAAAAUGACACUUUUCAAAAAAAUCUAAAAUUUUUGUAUCACUAAGUACAAAGUUUGUGUAGGUCUCUUUACAACACACUGUUUUUAAUAGUAGGUUUCUCUCUC
rnacentral:lncRNA from 1 species